rnacentral:lncRNA from 1 species
GGAGGCCCAACAUUGGGUGAGAUGGGUCUGACUUUGAUACCAUGUUAAAAUUGGUCUUGGGCCUAACUCAUACCAUGUUAAAAUUGGUCUUGGGCCUAACUCACACCCCAAAAGCUAGUUCAUGAGGAGGAGGAUUGCCCAAGCCUUAGAAGGAGAACACCCAUCUCAUUAACCACCAAUGUGGGACUUUCUUCUCUUUCUUCUAACAUCCCCUCACGCCCAGACCUUAACUAGGUGUGGAAAAUCUCUAUCGAAUCUCAAUCCGGAGGCCCAACACUGGAUGAGAUAGGUCUGGCUCUGAUACCAUGUUAAAAUUGGUCUUGGGCCUAACUCACACCCCAAAAACUAGCUC